GGGUAUGUGGCUGCAUAAACUGCACCCACAUUAAAAUAAUAAGGCCCGCUGAGCAUGAAGAGCGGUGCUUUAAUAGGAAACAUUGGCAUUCCAUUAACUGCCAAGUGAUUUGUGACUCUGAUUGCCUUAUAUUGAGUAUUGAUGCAUCAUACACAUCAUCAUACAUUGGGCAUAUGGGCCCAACAUGAGAUAAAAGCUCACAUGGAAGAACUCUCAAUACAGGGAGAGACUACAUACCUACUGGGUGACUCAGGGUAUCCUCUCCAGUCAUUCAUGAUGACUCCAGUGGACCAUGCAGGAGACGACUCACCUGAAGGGCGCUACAAUAUAAUUCAGAAACGUGCCCAUUCCACUGUAGAGCACACAUUUGGAAUACUAAAAGGGAGAUGGAGAUGCUUAUUAGCCGCCAGAGAAUUAAAUUAAACUCCUGAGACCGCUGGCAAAAUUGCAAUUGCAUGCAGUGUAUUGCACAACAUGUGCAUACAUGCUCGGCUCGACCAUCCUGAAUUAGCAGAGGACCUCGCAGCUG